UACGUAGGGUGCAGGCGUUAAUCGGAAUUACUGGGCGUAAAGCGUGCGCAGGCGGUUUGCUAAGACAGGUGUGAAAUCCCCGGGCUUAACCUGGGAACUGCGCUUGUAACUGGCAAGCUAGAGUGUGGCAGAGGGGGGUGGAAUUCCACGUGUAGCAGUGAAAUGCGUAGAGAUGUGGAGGAACACCGAUGGCGAAGGCAGCCCCCUGGGCCAAUACUGACGCUCAUGCACGAAAGCGUGGGGAGCAAACAGG
rnacentral:rRNA from 1 species